rnacentral:rRNA from 1 species
ACUCCUACGGGAGGCAGCAGUGGGGAAUAUUGCACAAUGGGGAAAGCCCAUCGAUGCAGCCAUGCCGCGUGUGUGAAGAAGGCCAAUUCGGGGCUUUGGGUUAAAAGACACUUUUCAGUAGGGAGGAAGGUAGUGUAGUUAACACCUGCAUUAUUUGACGUUACCUACAGAAGAAGCACCGGCUAACUCCGUGCCAGCAGCCGCGGUAAUACGGAGGGUGCGAGCGUUAAUCGGAAUUACUGGGCGUAAAGCGCAUGCAGGCGGCCUGUUAAGUCAGAUGUGAAAGCCGGCUA